rnacentral:rRNA from 1 species
GGUUCGAUUAUGGCUCAGAUUGAACGCUGGCGGGAUGCUUACACAUGCAAGUCGAACGGCACGGACUUCGGUCUGGUGGCGAGUGGCGAAUGGGUGAGUAAUGUAUCGGAACGUGCCUUAGUAGCGGGGGAUAAUCUACGCGAAAAGCGUAGCUACACGCAAUACGCCCUUCGGGGAAAGCGGGGACCUUCGGGCCUCGCACUAUUAGAGCGGCCGAUAUCGGAUUAGCCAGUUAGUAACGGCUCACCAAGGCGACGAUCCGUAGCUGGUUUGAGAGGACGACCAGCCACACCGGGACUGGGAGACACGGCCCAGACUCCUACGGGAGGCAGCAGGGAAUUUUGGACAAUGGGGAAACCCGAUCCAGCGACCUUGCGUGUUGAUGAAGGUCUUCGCCAAAGCACCUUUUUCAAGAGUGAAACGGGUAUCGAUAAUACCCCGUGCAACUGACGGCACCUGCAGAAUAAGCACGGCUGCAACUACGCACCAGCCGCGGUAAUACGUAGGGUGCGUUAAUCGGAAUUACCGGCGUAGCGCAGGUGGUUCGGAAAGAAAGAUGAAACCUAAGAGCCAACUCGGAACUGCAUUUUUAACUACCGAGUUUAGAGGUCAGAGGGGAGGUGGAAUUCGCGUGUAGCAGGAAUGCGUAGAUAUGCGGAGGAACACCGAUGGCGAAGGGCAGCCUCCUGGGAUACACUGACGCUCAUGCACGAAAGCGUGGGGAGCAAACAGAUUAGAUAAUUCCGGUAGUCCACGCCCUAAACGAUGUCAAAUUAGCUGUUGGGCCUUCGGGCCUGAAGCGCAGCUAACGCGUGAAGUUGACGCUCUGGGGAGUACGGUCGCAAGAUUGUAAACUGCGCGAAAUUGACGGGGACCCGCACAAGGUGGAUGAUGUGGAUUAAUUCGAUGCAACGCGAAAACCUUACCUACCCUUGACAUGUCUGGAAUCCCGAAGAGAUUUGGGAGUGCUCGCAAGAGAACUGAACACAGGUGCUGCAUGGCUGUCGUCAGCUCGUGUCGUGAGAUGUUGGGUUAAGUCCCGCAACGAGCGCAACCUUGACAGCCAGUUACACAGGGCACCCCAAUGAGACUGCCGGUGACAAACCGGAGGAAGGUGGGGAUGACGUCAAGUCCUCAUGGCCCUUAUGGUAGGGCUUCACACGUCAUACAAUGGUCGGGACAGAGGGUCGCCAACUCCGCGAGGGGAGCCAAUCCCAGAAAACCCGGAUCGUAGUCCGGAUCGCAGUCUGCAACUCGCUGACUGCGUGAAGUCGGAAUCGCUAGUAAUCGCGGAUCAGCAUGUCGCGGUGAUUGUUCUGGCUUGUACACACUGCCUGUCACACUACGGGAGUGGGUUUUACUGGUAUAGUUAGUCGUAACUGCAAGGAGGUUGAUUAAUACGGUAGGGAUUCCAAGACUGGGGUGAAAGUCAACAAGGCAG